rnacentral:rRNA from 1 species
GACGAACGCUGGCGGCGUGCUUAACACAUGCAAGUCGAGCGGUAAGGCCCUUUCGGGGGGUACACGAGCGGCGAACGGGUGAGUAACACGUGGGUGACCUGCCCUCAGCUCUGGGAUAAGCCUGGGAAACCGGGUCUAAUACUGGAUAUGACUCCAUGACGCAUGUUGUGGGGUGGAAAGCCUUGUGCGGCUGAGGAUGGGCCCGCGGCCUAUCAGCUUGUUGGUGGGGUGANGGCCUACCAAGGCGACGACGGGUAGCCGGCCUGAGAGGGCGACCGGCCGACACUGGGACUGAGACACGGCCCAGACUCCUACGGGAGGCAGGCAGUGGGGAAUCUUGCGCAAUGGGCGAAAGCCUGACGCAGCGACGCCGCGUGAGGGAUGACGGCC